AGGAUUCGGUUAGAGGUAUGCUGUAGUUCAUCAUGAUGCAUAAACAUAAUAAUAGUGCCUUUGUCAUUCUGAAGGUUAGUUUGCAAUUUAUUAUGGUAAUAAUAAGCACAGAAAGAGAGUUAAAAAGUGAUUUGAAAAAAAUAAGGGAGCAUGAAAUGUCAUUUGAUGUUUUAGAGUUUUAUUUUUUGUGGAUUUGAGGACGUUUGAUAAGGACAACAACUUCCACAUGUCAGUGAGUGAGCAUUUUCUAGACUAACUUGAUUUCAUUUAUUCUCAGACGUCAACAGGAAGCAGAACUAAAACUGAUAGAAGAGGAGACAGCAAAGCGGGUAGAAGAAGCUAUACAGAAGAAAGUUGAAGAGAGCUUAAAUUCUGAGGAGAUCAAGCUGGAGAUACAGAGGCGUUUGGAGGAGGGAAGGAAAAGACUUCAUGAAGAAGUUGCCAUUCAACUUGAGAGAGAAAAAGAAGCUGCUCUUAUUGAGGCUAGGAGAAAAGAGGUAAUAACUACUCUUACGUGAAUAAACUGCUGUGAAUCAGUUCUCCAUCUUGUUGCCUUUGUUAGGUUCACUGCCUGUAUGCUUCUCUUCACGAUGCAUUGGUACUAUCCAAUGUUCAUAUCAAAAAUAUUUUUGCAUAUAUUUCUAUUUGUUUUCUUUUUGCUAUUGCUGCGUGCAAUCACCCACUGGAGAUUGGACAAAAAUAUAGCUGUUUGUAUCUAGAAGACAGGUCAGUUCAAAGUUGGGUACAAGUAUAGGUGAAGGAAAAGAGAAUAGUGCAUAAUUUUAGUGAAGGAAAUAUGUUAGUAUAGGUGAGAGCAGAACUGUCAAGUUUGGUUGAUGGCUUCUGUUUAUCUUCUGCUAUUUUCCUGUGAACCUUUCAAGCAGGCUCCCUUAGUUUCUUUUAGUAUAACUGUUCAGAAAUCUAAUCUUGUCUUACUGUUUCACCUUAUAAUCAGUAAGAUGUUCCAUCUCUCUCGGCCCCCAUGAUGAUUUGAUGGAUGUGAGAAGCUUUUAACCAAACUAAAUCAUAGUUUUUACUAUUGUGUUAAUUUCUGGAUUGUUCUUUAUUUUUGUUGAUAUUCAGGAACAAGCUCGAAAAGAAAAAGAAGAGUUGGAAAAAAUGCUUGAAGAGAACCGGAGGAGGGUGGAAGAAGCUCAGAGAAGGGAAGCUUUGGAGCAACAGCAGAGAGAGGAGGAACGAUAUCGAGAAUUAGAAGAGCUUCAAAGACAGAAGGAAGAAGCAAUGAAAAGGAAGAAGCAGCAAGAGGAGGAAGAACGUUUAAACCAGAUAAAAUUGUUGGGCAAGAACAAGUCUCGGCCGAAGUUGUCAUUCGCAUUUGGCUCAAGAAAAUUACUUGGAGGACCAAAAUUCAUUUACAUUAAAUGUAUGUGUUGGACUUGAUUACUUGUUUUCAUUUGUACUUUGAGGAUUUUACAAUGGUUAAUCCAGGUUUUGGUGUUCUGUUGUUCUGGAUUGUUCUGUUGUUCAACCCCAAGAAUGGUUUUGAUAUGACGAGUCUAUUAAUUAGCUAUGCUGCUUGAACUGUGAAUAUGCCUCCUGUUCUUGGUAGAUUAAACCAUGAAAAAAUUUAUCAA
rnacentral:misc_RNA from 1 species